UACGUGGUUUGGAAUUUGUACGUGUUUUAGAGUCUGUACGUUCUUCGGAAUUUGUAUGUGCUUUGGAGUUUGUACGUGUGUUUAAUUGACGAGAAACAGCUAAAGACAAUGCCACGUUGUGAUUUUUGUGGCAAGUCCGUGAGGACACUGAAGGGUUAUGUGCUUCAUUGCAAACUUCAUCGGAAUGAGCCGCGAUGCACAUUUAAGUGUUUUGGAGCAGGCAGACAUUUUGCAAGUAUGGGGCUUUCAAGGCGCAUUUUUAUCGAAAGCACAUUUCUCCCACUCCUGUUACCGACAAGAUUACGCUUAGCACUUUUAAAUGCGCAGUGGCAUUGUGUGAACGUCAGUUUACAGACUCGAAAGUUCUAAUAGCUCACUUGAAGGACCAUUUUGAGGAAGGACGUGAGGUUACUUGUCCACUAAGAGGGUGCACAAGUGUUUUCACAGUCAAAUCUUCAUUUACCGCCCACAUGUCACGGAAACAUAAAAACUUUGCAGAUGGAGGCAUCAGUGAUUGGUACAAGGAUUGUGCACCUCAGUCAUGUCCCACUGUUGAAGCAGAAUUACUUAAUUGUGGACCUGACAUCUCUGAAGCAGGCACAGAGACGGUCCCAAUAGAGGUUGAUUCUGAAUUAUCUGAAGAUUUUAGAGAUCUUUUCCUCAGAAAUAUAAGUUUAUUCUACUUGAAAUUGCAAGGACAGUUUCUGCUACCUGCUUCUACCAUCCAGACCAUUGUAGAGGAAAUACAAAACAUACAUGAAUUGGGUCAGUCAUAUACAUUGGAUAACCUCACUACACUCCUAAAAACUAACACAACAUUGUCUGACGAGGGUAUUGCCAAGCUCUGUGAGGCGGUCAAGGGAUCCGAUCUGUUUUCCGCAUGUCAUAAAGGGCCAAUGAGGACAACAUACUCCAGAGUACAGUCCUUCAAAGAAAUGUUUAACUAUGUGGAGCCCAAGAAAAUUUUUUUAGGACAAAGCCAGAAUAGAACUGAUCAGUUUGCAUACUAUGUACCUCUAAGAGAGACUUUGAAAUGUUUGUUAAACUCUGAUUUGUGGCAGAAAUGUGUAACAGGUGAGCAGUCAGCUGGCUCUUCAUCAGAUGUACUGUGUGACAUUAGUGAUGGUAGGAUAUUCAAAAGCAAUAAUUUUUUUGACACAAAUCCAUCAUGUCUCAAACUACUGCUAUAUCAAGACGCCUUUGAAGUUGUUAAUCCUUUAGGCUCUGCAAAGACAAAACAUAAAGUAUUAGCUGUUUAUGUGUCUGUUGCUAAUUUGCCACUUCAUGUUCGGUCUGACACAGACCACAUGUUUCUUGUGUUAUUAUGUCGAGAGAAAGACUUCAGAGAGUUUGGACAUGCAAAUGUGUUCUCUGAAUUACUAACAGAUUUGAAGGAACUUGAGGAAAAUGGCAUAGUGACAUCAGAUAAAACUGUAGUCAAAGGAACCUUGUUUUGCAUUGCUGGAGAUAAUUUGGGCUCAGAUUGCAUUGGUGGCUUCUGUGAAAACUUUAGUCGUACACAUCAUUUCUGUAGGUACUGUCUAAUGACACAAUCUGAUUUUCAGAGUGGCGACCCAAAUCAGUGUGGUGCAGAACGCACCAAGGAAACAUACAACUCUGCUGUUGAACGCCUCAAGACUGAAGAAAUGGGUGAUAUGGACCAAAGCAGCAUAAGUAAUGCCAUUACAAAGGUUUUGCCCGACCUUGCACCUUCAGUUCUUGGUAUUGUUGUGGAGACACUGCAGUCAUUGGGUGUAGAAACCACUGAAGAUUUUGACUUCGUCCAGGAGAGUGAUUUGAUGUCCGUUCUUAGACUGAUUCAAGCAAGAAAACUGGUGGCUGCGUGGAAAAAAAACUCACAAAGUACUGAAAUUCACAUCCAGUCAUCAUUAUCCUCUUCUACCUCACCAACAAGCUCCUCAGUCUCUCUUUCACCUUCACCUGGCCGAGUCCUUGCUGUUUUAGACUGGGUUGACAGCUUCCAGAUUCCAUGGGAUAAGUUUCCAGAAGCUUUGCUGCAGUGUUUGGAGAGAGGGAAGAGGCCAGCGCCAAAGUUGAGAAGAGAAAUGAUCCGUAUUGUUGCUUCUGAAAUGAUGAAAGUAAGCGCAUCUCCGAGUAAGCAAGCUUCAACUGAAGUAGCCAAAAAACUGAUUGCCAAGUAUCCACAGUCACUGCAAGAUGUCAUAGAAGGCGAUGUGGUGGGAUCAGGGUAUCACUCACUGGUUAAGCAGUUACAAGCAAGAAUAGAAAAUGUUAAGCGGUCUUCAACACCCAGGAUAAAGAAGCGCAAGGAGUGUUCAGAUGAUUCUUUAACAGAUGAAGUCCCAGCUGAAAAAAAGGCUGCUGUUCAGGACACAUAUGGUUGCAUCAAGUGGGACAUGAAAUUCAUGCCAGUGACUGAGACAACAGAAAGUCAGGAGAAAAAAUAAAAAAUGAAGAGGCUUCAUCGUGAGACCAAUGUCAGCCUAGCUGAGGUGGAAAAUCUCAUGAAGUGUACUUAUUACUCUCAACGCAAGGAUAUAAACAAUGGAGAAGAACUGCAAACCCUGUUGGAGGAAUGGCCUUUCUUGUUCCAGGAGGUUGGAAUGGCAGUCCAUUUCUACGAGCUCACUGGGGUUUCACUGAAGGAGACUUUCCUUAACAGUCUGGAGAAAAAGGGAAAACGACUGCUCGACUUCAUGCGAAACACUUGUGCUGAUAAGAGCAAAAGGGUUUUGCAGGCUGUCACAAAACUACAAAUACUUAGAGGACAGUUGCAAGGCUGCUCAGAGGAUGUUAAGGACAUGGUCCUUCUUCUCCUGUCCUAUUUUGAUGAGAGAGAGGAGAAUCUAUUCCAUCAUGUUGAACAAACAUGUCUGGGACACGAGAUUCAAAUGGAAAGCCUGCCAGUAACUCCAUGUAUCAUUGUGUGCGGAUCUUCUUGCUAUUCUUCAACCCGAUUCAUGCUUGCUGUAGACCGUAAAGUUGUAAAUGACAACAUUCCCACCUUCAUUUCUGCCAUCUGCUUGAUGUUUGGAAGUUACUACUGCCUCAAUAUUCACUAUCCUGUGGACCUUUGCUCAACACUCGAGUUUCUUCAGAGAUGCUGUUUCAACUUCAAUCCAGAAAAGGGCACAAAGGUGGAAACAAAGAAGAACAAGAAGCAACUGUCUGUGAACCCAAGAGUGCUCACUCUUAUUGCAGAUCUUUCAGACCACGAGUGGCGAGAGACAUGUUAAAAAUGGACUUGUGCAAUGUUGUUAAGUCUCAGCUCUCACAUCACUGGCUGUGUGACAUCUUUAUUCUAAUGUAGCAGUUAGCCACUGGUUUUAAAGGUUUUUCUCCUGCUCGUUUCUGAAGUCAGUUCUGUGUUUUUAUAAGAACAGUCUUUUAAUUUUAUUCUGAUUUGCAUCAAUUACAUACGUGGUUUCAGAUGUUUAAAUUUGUGGACAUUUUUCCCUUAAAGUUUAAAACACAACUAACAUACUGAAUAUUUGGAGAAAUUAAUGGAUCUUGAAGCAUUGACAACAAUUCUUACAUUUUAGGUUCAGUAAACUUGAAAUAGGUCAAUGUUUAAUUUUGUUGAAUGUAUAUUAUUCACGGACAAGGUCAAUUUUUUGUAAUUUUUGUAAUUAUCAUUUUUGUUUUUUGACACUGUUAUGAACAAAUUUAUUAAUCUGAGCAAUAAAUAAGAGGUUAAAAAAAGAG